UACGUAGGGGGCAAGCGUUGUCCGGAAUUAUUGGGCGUAAAGCGCGUGUAGGCGGCUCGGUAAGUCUGCUGUGAAAGUCCGGGGCUCAACCCCGGGAGGCGGGCGGAUACUGUCGGGCUAGAGUCCGGAAGAGGCGAGUGGAAUUCCUGGUGUAGCGGUGGAAUGCGCAGAUAUCAGGAGGAACACCGAUGGCGAAGGCAGCUCGCUGGGACGGUACUGACGCUGAGGCGCGAAAGCGUGGGGAGCGAACAGG
rnacentral:rRNA from 1 species